CAACUACUCCCUUCGUCCGGAAAUACUUAUCAUAAGAAUGGAGGUAUCUAGAUGUGUUUUAGUUUUAGAUACAUUCAUUUUUAUUCAUUUAUGCGACAAGUAAUUUCUAACGGAGGGAGUAUAUU
rfam:Hordeum vulgare subsp. vulgare, WGS project CAJW01000000 data, contig: morex_contig_1641664